UGGCUCAGAACGAACGCUGGCGGCGCGCCUAAUACAUGCAAGUCGAGCGAGAAGACGUAGCAAUACGUUUGUAAAGCGGCGAACGGGUGAGGAAUGCAUGGGUAACCUACCCUCGAGUGGGGAAUAACUAGCCGAAAGGUUAGCUAAUACCGCAUACGAUUCCCGGACUGCGGUUCGGGAGGGAAAGCGAUACCGUGGGUAUCGCGCUCUUGGAUGGGCUCAUGUCCUAUCAGCUUGUUGGUGAGGUAAUGGCUCACCCAAGGCUUCGACGGGUAGCUGGUCUGAGAGGACGAUCAGCCACACUGGCACUGCGACACGGGCCAGACUCCUACGGGAGGCAGCAGUAAGGAAUAUUGCGCAAUGGACGAAAGUCUGACGCAGCGACGCCGCGUGGGGGAUGAAGGUCUUCGGAUUGUAAACCCCUUUCGGCAGGGAAGAUGGAACGGGUAACCGUUCGGACGGUACCUGCAGAAGCAGCCACGGCUAACUUCGUG
rnacentral:rRNA from 1 species